AACGCACAUUGCGCCCUUUGGUAUUCCGAGGGGCAUGCCUGUUCGAGCGUCAUUAUAACCCUCAAGCUUAGCUUGGUAUUGGGGUCGCUAUCCAGCGACCCCUAAAUUUAGUGGCGGUGCCUAUAGGUUCUACGCGUAGUCAUAUCUCUCGCGAUGGAUCCCCUGUAAGGCCCUAGCCAAUAACCCCUAAUUUUUUUUUUUAGGUUGACCUCGGAUCAGGUAGGGAUACCCGCUGAACUUAA
rnacentral:misc_RNA from 1 species